GGAGUCGGGCAGGUUGUCGCCGGGGGCGUGUUUUGCUCAGGCAAGGCGCGUCCCGGGAGGAAAGUCCGGGCUCCAUAGGGCGGGACGCUGGAUAACGUCCAGCGGGGGCGACCCCGGGAAAGUGCCACAGAAAACAGACCGCCCCGCGCUCACUUUGCCUUUGUCAUCUUUUCGGCCUUUGCUGGAUGACCAGGGCAAAGUGAGCGCGGGGUAAGGGUGAAACGGUGGGGUAAGAGCCCACCAGUUGCCGCGGUGACGCGGCAAGCUCGGCAAACCCCGUUCGGAGCAAGACCAAAUAGGAGGACGCUUGAGGCCGGCCCGGUCGAAGUCCUCGGGUAGGUUGCUGGAGGCCGGAAGCAAUUCCGGUCCUAGAGGAAUGACAAUCGCCCCGCGCUCACUUUGUCCUGACGGAUCGUCGGGUCAUGAUGCUUUGCCAGGACAAAGUGGGCGCGGGGAGACAGAACCCGGCUUAUCGCCCGACUCCCGCG
rnacentral:RNase_P_RNA from 1 species